UGGAGAACCUAAAGAAAAUAUUAAAAUACUUGAAGAAUCACAUAGACAAGAAGUUAAAUUAUUGAAACGUUAAAAUGAAUCACUUGGUGAUAAAUUAUCUAUUGAAAAAGCAGCAAUUGAUGCUGAAAAAAGAAAAAAUCAUUCAGUAUUAGAUCAACAACAACACCAUCAGCAGCAGCAACAACUGCAACAGCAGCAGAGUAUUGUUGAUGAUCCAAGAAUAAGUCCAACUUCAAGUGUCAGAAGAGGUGAAAUUAGUGGUACAAAUAGUCUCUGGUUAGCUUUCAAUGAUUCAAUGUUUGAUACCAGUUUAGGACGUUUACCAAGUAUUUAUGAUGGUCUUAGAAAUAGUGGUAAUACAACAUCAACUAAUGAAACACUUCAGGUACAAUUAAAAUCACGUGAAGGUGAAAUACAAAUGCUUCAGUAGGAAAUUUCACGACGAAAUAAUGAUUGUGAUGUACUAAUCAUAAAAUUAUCAAAUUUAUCAAUAAAAGUAGAUGGGCGAUCAAUUGAAUUAACAAAAGUUAAAGCAUUAAAGAAAAAUUUAAAUGAAAUAUAAACUAGAUAUGAUGCUUUGCUACAAAUGUAUGGUAAAAAAGUUGAAAAAAAUGAAAAUUUACGACUUGAUCUUGAGGAUUUUAAAGAAAUGUUUAAAAGUCAAAUUGAUCAGCUGCUAAAACGUGGUGCCAUUUAAAAUUUUUUUAAAUAAAAUUUUUAAUGUUAUUAUCAUUUUAAUUGGUAUUUUGAAGUGCUAUAAAAUGGCUUUAUGUCGCAGGCCGGCACAUUUCAUUUUUAUCAUUAUAAAUUUUAAAUAGAGAUAUUUCAUUUUUUUCUUUUGAGGAGA